CGCUCGUAGCAAUACGAGAGCGGCAGACGGGAGAGUAACACGUGGGAACGUGCCCUUUGGUUCGGAAUAACUCAGGGAAACUUGAGCUAAUACCGGAUAAGCCCUUACGGAGAAAGAUUUAUUGCCAAAGGAGCGGCCCGCGUCUGAUUAGCUAGUUGGCGGGGUAAUGGCCCACCAAGGCUUUGAUCGGUAGCCGGCCUGAGAGGGCGCACGGCCACACUGGAACUGAAACACGGCCCAG
rnacentral:rRNA from 1 species